UGGGGAAUCUUAGACAAUGGGGGAAACCCUGAUCUAGCCAUGCCGCGUGAGUGACGAAGGCCUUAGGGUCGUAAAGCUCUUUCGCCAGGGAUGAUAAUGACAGUACCUGGUAAAGAAACCCCGGCUAACUCCGUGCCAGCAGCCGCGGUAAUACGGAGGGGGUUAGCGUUGUUCGGAAUUACUGGGCGUAAAGCGCGCGUAGGCGGAUUAGUCAGUCAGGGGUGAAAUCCCGGGGCUCAACCCCGGAACUGCCCUUGAUACUGCUAGUCUUGAGUUCGAGAGAGGUGAGUGGAAUUGCGAGUGUAGAGGUGAAAUUCGUAGAUAUUCGCAGGAACACCAGUGGCGAAGGCGGCUCACUGGCUCGAUACUGACGCUGAGGUGCGAAAGUGUGGGGAGCAAACAGGAUUAGAUACCCCCGUAGUCC
rnacentral:rRNA from 1 species